rnacentral:rRNA from 1 species
AGAGUUUGAUCCUGGCUCAGGAUGAACGCUGACAGAAUGCUUAACACAUGCAAGUCAACUCGAGAGUACUUCGGUACUGAUAGGGUGGCGCACGGGUGAGUAACACGUGAAUAACCUGCCUCUAAGACUGGGAUAACAACUCGAAAGAGUUGCUAAUACCGGAUAAGCUCACGGUACUGCAUGGUACAGGGAGAAAAACUAAAUGUACUUAGAGAGGGGUUCGCGUCCCAUUAGCUAGUUGGUGAGGUAAAGGCUCACCAAGGCGACGAUGGGUAGCCGGCCUGAGAGGGUGGACGGCCACAAGGGAACUGAGACACGGUCCUUACUCCUACGGGAGGCAGCAGUGGGGAAUAUUGGACAAUGGGCCACGAGCCUGAUCCAGCAAUUCUGUGUGGACGAUGAAGGUUUUCGGAUUGUAAAGUCCUUUCAGUAGGGAAGAAAAAAAUGACGGUACCUACAGAAGAAGCACCGGCUAAUUAUGUGCCAGCAGCCGCGGUAAGACAUAAGGUGCGAGCGUUAUCCGGAAUCACUGGGCGUAAAGGGCAUCUAGGCGGUUUAUUAAGUCAGAGGUGAAAAGCCGAAGCUCAACUUUGGUCUUGCCUUUGAAACUGAUAGACUAGAAUACGGGAUAGGAGGGCGGAACUACAAGUGUAGAGGUGAAAUUCGUAGAUAUUUGUAGGAAUGCCGAUGACGAAGGUAGCUCUCUGGACCGAUAUUGACGCUGAAGUGCGAAAGCUAGGGUAGCAAACAGGAUUAGAUACCCUGGUAGUCCUAGCUGUAAACGAUGAUUACUGGGUGUGGGGGGUCGAACCUCUGUGCCGAAGCUAACGCGAUAAGUAAUCCGCCUGGGGAGUACGGUCGCAAGACUGAAACUCAAAGGAAUUGACGGGGACC